rnacentral:rRNA from 1 species
GUGUCAGCCGCCGCGGUAAGACGUAGGGUGCGAGCGUUGUCCGGAUUUAUUGGGCGUAAAGAGCUCGUAGGCGGCUCGUCGCGUCGACCGUGAAAACUUGGGGCUUAACCCUAAGCUUGCGGUUGAUACGGGCGGGCUAGAGUUCGGUAGGGGAGACUGGAAUUCCUGGUGUAGCGGUGAAAUGCGCAGAUAUCAGGAGGAACACCGGUGGCGAAGGCGGGUCUCUGGGCCGAUACUGACGCUGAGGAGCGAAAGCGUGGGGAGCGAACAGGAUUAGAUACCCCCGUAGUCC